rnacentral:rRNA from 1 species
GACGAAGGGGGCUAGCGUUGUUCGGAAUUACUGGGCGUAAAGCGCACGUAGGCUGCCUUUCAAGUCGGAUGUGAAAGCCCCGAGCUUAACUCGGGAACUGCAUUUGAUACUGUUGGGCUAGAGACCGGGAGAGGAUAGCGGAAUUCCCAGUGUAGAGGUGAAAUGCGUAGAUACCGGGAGGAACACCAGUGGCGAAGGCGACUACCUGGCCUGUUCUUGACGCUGAGGCGCGAAAGCUAGGGGAGCAAACGGG